UGUAAAUUCAUACAUAAGUGCGACACAGAGGCAACUCGUCAUAAGAGGUUCGCGCGGUAGUCCCUCAGUUUUACUCACAGUAUUGUUGUCACUAGACCAUAAUAAUGGUUAGUUUAGGAAAGCAUUAUUUUUCUUACGUUCAUUUAAAUCUGACGUGCGUUCAAAGAUGAAUAGUUUACCUACGCCUUUAUUGCAUUCCGUGAAGUGACUGUUCUCUCGGGCACUCGAACGAUAAGGUGUAAUAAGAUGCAUUUAGCCAUGAAAUACACUCGCGUGAUGAAGAUUUGUUUUGCAGUGUUUUUAGUAUUAGUGUACUUUCAAGGGGUAAAUGCCGUUCAGAAAAAGUCUCAUUGCCGUUACAACUGUGAAGACCUAUGUUUGACCAGAGGCAAAAGUGGCGGUGCAUGCAUGCGAAGUUCCUGCAAAUGUUUCUCUGCGAUUGACAGCUGACCAGACGCCCUCCGCCUAUAUCCCACGCUCGGGGGAUUAGACAAGAUGACAAUAAAAUUAUACAUUGAAAACAUCACAUCCUCCUGUUCGUAAUAGUAUCUUACGAACAUGACGAUGUGAUUUUUUCGAUGCCUAAACAAUUUAAGGUUUAUUCGAUGAAUAAAUAAAUUUCAUUUUCUUUUAACCUA